rfam:Schistosoma curassoni strain Dakar, Senegal genome assembly, scaffold: SCTD_contig0006265
AGCUUUUCGGAUCCGUGCAGUGAUUUCGUCAGACACUAACCCAUUAGCGCCGACCAGACUUCCAAGAUAAGUGAAGUU